GAAAAAACAAACAAAAAC
rnacentral:sRNA from 1 species